rnacentral:rRNA from 1 species
GACGAGGGUGGCAAGCGUUAUUCGGAUUUACUGGGCAUAAAGCGCGCGUAGGCGGCUUGGCAAGUCGGGGGUGAAAGCCCGCAGCUCAACUGCGGAACUGCCUUCGAUACUGCCGGGCUUGAGGGCGGGAGGGGUGAUUGGAACUCCAGGUGUAGCGGUGAAAUGCGUAGAUAUCUGGAGGAACACCGGAGGCGAAGGCGAAUCACUGGACCGCUUCUGACGCUGAGGCGCGAAAGCUAGGGGAGCAAACAGG